rnacentral:rRNA from 1 species
AACGAACGCUGGCGGCAUGCCUAACACAUGCAAGUCGAACGAGACCUUCGGGUCUAGUGGCGCACGGGUGCGUAACGCGUGGGAACCUGCCCUUAGGUUCGGAAUAACUCCCCGAAAGGGGUGCUAAUACCGGAUAAUGUCUUCGGACCAAAGAUUUAUCGCCUUUGGAUGGGCCCGCGUUGGAUUAGCUAGUUGGUAGGGUAAAAGCCUACCAAGGCGACGAUCCAUAGCUGGUCUGAGAGGAUGAUCAGCCACACUGGGACUGAGACACGGCCCAGACUCGGACGGGAGGCAGCAGUGGGGAAUAUUAGACAAUGGGCGAAAGCCUGAUCCAGCAAUGCCGCGUGAGUGAUGAAGGCCUUAGGGUUGUAAAGCUCUUUUACCCGGGAUGAUAAUGACAGUACCGGGAGAAUAAGCUCCGGCUAACUCCGUG